AUUGAACGCUGGCGGCAUGCCUUACACAUGCAAGUCGAACGGUAACAGGUUAAGCUGACGAGUGGCGAACGGGUGAGUAAUGUAUCGGAACGUGCCCAGUCGUGGGGGAUAACUGCUCGAAAGAGCAGCUAAUACCGCAUACGACCUGAGGGUGAAAGCGGGGGAUCGCAAGACCUCGCGCGAUUGGAGCGGCCGAUAUCAGAUUAGGUAGUUGGUGGGGUAAAGGCCUACCAAGCCUACGAUCUGUAGCUGGUCUGAGAGGACGACCAGCCACACGGGGACUGAGACACGGCCCAGACUCCUACGGGAGGCAGCAGUGGGGAAUUUUGGACAAUGGACGCAAGUCUGAUCCAGCCAUGCCGCGUGCGGGAAGAAGGCCUUCGGGUUGUAAACCGCUUUUGUCAGGGAAGAAAAGGUUCUGGUUAAUACCUGGGACUCAUGACGGUACCUGAAGAAUAAGCACCGGCUAACUACGUGCCAGCAGCCGCCGUAACAC
rnacentral:rRNA from 1 species